rnacentral:pre_miRNA from 1 species
UCAUGGCGAUGAUGCUCAUGAUCGUGUCCGUCAUGAUGGUCAUGAUUGUGAUGAUGAUCGUGUCCGUCAUGAUGGUCAUGAUCGUGAUGAUGAUCG